rnacentral:rRNA from 1 species
AGAGAGUCUGACGAGCACGCCGCGUGAGUGAGAAGGUUUUCGGAUCGUAAAACUCUGUUGUUAGAGAAGAACAAGGACGUUAGUAACUGAACGUCCCCUGACGGUAUCUAACCAGAAAGCCACGGCUAACUACGUGCCAGCAGCCGCGGUAAUACGUAGGUGGCAAGCGUUGUCCGGAUUUAUUGGGCGUAAAGCGAGCGCAGGCGGUUUCUUAAGUCUGAUGUGAAAGCCCCCGGCUCAACCGGGGAGGGUCAUUGGAAACUGGGAGACUUGAGUGCAGAAGAGGAGAGUGGAAUUCCAUGUGUAGCGGUGAAAUGCGUAGAUAUAUGGAGGAACACCAGUGGCGAAGGCGGCUCUCUGGUCUGUAACUGACGCUGAGGCUCGAAAGCGUGGGGAGCAAACAGGAUUAGAUACC